ACCAGUUUAAAUAACUGCACUGCAGGUUUCCCUCUCACUGUGGAAGGAAGAUAGACUUUUGGUUGCGUUGAGUCAGAUAGAGGCAUUUCAGUUUGCGUUUGAUCUUAUCUCUGGCUGAAACCAUGGGGUUUAUUCUACGUGUGGUGCUACUAUGGCUGCUCAUUAUUGGAGAGCUUCAGGCAAGCAUUACAUCCCGUGCCCCGGCAGCCCGGCUACCAGCAGAAACUGCCGCAACCCGUGCCCCAGCCUUGGCGGCGACCCGUGCCGAGGCCUUGGCGGCGACCCGUGCCCCAGCCGUGGCGGCGACCCGU